CGAGUGGCGAACGGGUGAGUAACGCGUGAGGAACCUGCCUCAAAGAGGGGGACAACAGUUGGAAACGACUGCUAAUACCGCAUAAGCCCACGGGUCGGCAUCGACCAGAGGGAAAAGGAGCAAUCCGCUUUGAGAUGGCCUCGCGUCCGAUUAGCUAGUUGGUGAGGUAAUGGCCCACCAAGGCAACGAUCGGUAGCCGGACUGAGAGGUUGAACGGCCACAUUGGGACUGAGACACGGCCCAGACUCCUACGGGAGGCAGCAU
rnacentral:rRNA from 1 species